rnacentral:rRNA from 1 species
UACAGAGGUCCCAAGCGUUGUUCGGAUUCACUGGGCGUAAAGGGUGCGUAGGUGGCGGGGUAAGUCAGGUGUGAAAUCUCGGGGCUCAACCCCGAAACUGCACUUGAUACUGCCUUGCUCGAGUACUGGAGAGGAGAUUGGAAUUUACGGUGUAGCAGUGAAAUGCGUAGAUAUCGUAAGGAAGACCAGUGGCGAAGGCGGGUCUCUGGACAGUUCCUGACGCUGAGGCACGAAGGUCAGGGGAGCAAACGGG